rnacentral:rRNA from 1 species
GAUGAACGCUAGCUACAGGCUUAACACAUGCAAGUCGAGGGGCAGCAUAGAAGUUAGCUUGCUAACUUCGGAUGGCGACCGGCGGAUGGGUGAGUAACACGUAUCCAACCUGGCCUUUACAAUGGGAUAGGCUUUCGAAAGAAAGAUUAAUACUGUAUGUUCCGUGAUCUCCGCAUGGAGAUUCCGGCAAAGAUUUAUCGGUAAAGGAUGGGGAUGCGUUCCAUUAGGCAGUAGGCGGGGUAACGGCCCACCUAACCGACGAUGGAUAGGGGUUCUGAGAGGAAGGUCCCCCACAUUGGAACUGAGACACGGUCCAAACUCCUACGGGAGGCAGCAGUGAGGAAUAUUGGUCAAUGGGCGAGAGCCUGAACCAGCCAAGUAGCGUGCAGGAAGACGGCCCUAUGGGUUGUAAACUGCUUUUGAAGGGGAAUAACAGAAUCUACGUGUAGAUUUUUGCAUGUACCUUUCGAAUAAGGAUCGGCUAACUCCGUG